CGGGCGGACGGGUGAGUAACACGUGGAUAACCUACCUAUAAGGACUGGGAUAAACUUCGGGAAACCGGAGCUAAUACCGGAUAAUAUAUUGAACCGCAUGGUUCAAUAGUGAAAGACGGUUUUGCUGUCACUUAUAGAUGGAUCCGCGCCGCAUUAGCUAGUUGGUAAGGUAACGGCUUACCAAGGCAACGAUGCGUAGCCGACCUGAGAGGGUGAUCGGCCACACUGGAACUGAGACACGGUCCAGACUCCUACGGGAGGCAGCAGAC
rnacentral:rRNA from 1 species